rnacentral:rRNA from 1 species
GACGAACGCUGGCGGCGUGCUUAACACAUGCAAGUCGAACGGAAAGGCCCUGCUUUUGUGGGGUGCUCGAGUGGCGAACGGGUGAGUAACACGUGAGUAACCUGCCCUUGACUUUGGGAUAACUUCAGGAAACUGGGGCUAAUACCGGAUAGGAGCUCCUGCUGCAUGGUGGGGGUUGGAAAGUUUCGGCGGUUGGGGAUGGACUCGCGGCUUAUCAGCUUGUUGGUGGGGUAGUGGCUUACCAAGGCUUUGACGGGUAGCCGGCCUGAGAGGGUGACCGGCCACACUGGGACUGAGAUACGGCCCAGACUCCUACGGGAGGCAGCAGUGGGGAAUAUUGCACAAUGGGCGGAAGCCUGAUGCAGCAACGCCGCGUGCGGGAUGACGGCCUUCGGGUUGUAAACCGCUUUCGCCUGUGACGAAGCGUGAGUGACGGUAAUGGGUAAAGAAGCACCGGCUAACUACGUG